rnacentral:rRNA from 1 species
GGAUUAGAUACCCUGGUAGUCCACGCCGUAAACGAUGUCUACUAGUUGUUGGGGAACUUGAUUCCUUAGUAACGAAGCUAACGCGAUAAGUAGACCGCCUGGGGAGUACGGCCGCAAGGUUAAAACUCAAAUGAAUUGACGGGGGCCCGCACAAGCGGUGGAGCAUGUGGUUUAAUUCGAAGCAACGCGAAGAACCUUACCUACACUUGACAUCCAGAGAACUUGCUAGAGAUAGCUUGGUGCCUUCGGGAGCUCUGAGACAGGUGCUGCAUGGCUGUCGUCAGCUCGUGCCG